rnacentral:rRNA from 1 species
AUGUCGACGACAUUCUUGCUGCCUACGCUGCUUCUUGCGGCACUUGCGGCCACCGCGACGAGCCUCACCUUGAAGCCGGGCUGCCGGCCAAGCUGUGGCGGCGUUGACGUUCCCUACCCUUUUGGCAUCGGCCAAGGCUGCUUCCUCCCCGGCUUCGAGAUCGUCUGCGACAACAGCAGGCCUAUCCUAGGGAACACCAAGCAGGCUAUAGAGGUGUUCGUGCUCAGCUUGUCCGUGACCCCGCGACCAGAGGCACGGGUGAUGGUGCCCAUAACGUGGCAGUGCUUCAACUCCUCCGGCGACGCUAUCAAGUGGAGCAUCAGCACCGUAAACUACAAUCGGGCCGGUGUGUACCGCAUCUCCAACAAUCACAACGAGCUCGUCGUUCUAGGCUGCAACACCUUCGUCUACACCAACGGUGGGCCGCGCGGUCGCUCCACCUACACCUACUACACGGGCUGCGCCGCUUACUGCGACAACGCCCAGAGUGCGCGUGAUGGCGACUGUACCGGAGUCGGCUGCUGCCAUGUUGACAUCCCACCGGGCCUUUCCGACAACAAGAUGCGGUUCUCGGGGGAUCCGGAUUGGAAGAACCCGGGCAUGCCGUUCAGCCUUUGCGACUACGCCUUCAUCGUGGAGAAGGGCAACUACACGUUCCAGAAGGCUGACCUCAAAAUGGACCUCGAGACCAGCAAGCCGCUGCGGCUAGACUGGGCCAUCCGUGUCAACAACGGCAGCUCCCUGUCGUGCGCCGAGGCGCCCAGCAUGCCGGGGUACAUGUGCGUCAGCCAACACAGCGAGUGUGUCGACUCCACCAACGGUCCCGGAUAUGUGUGCAACUGCACCGAAGGCUACGAGGGCAACCCGUAUCUUCACAAGGGAUGUACAAAUUUAAAUGAAUGUGCACGUCCAAGGGAGGAAUAUCCAUGCAAUGGUGUAUGUUAUGACAUUGACGGUUCAUAUGAUUGCAAAUGUCACCUAGGCUACGAGAGUAGUGGUGAUCCAAAAGAAAAUCCAUGCAAUCCAAAAUUCCCACUUCCAGCAAGGAUUGCUCUAGGCAUCGGCCUAGGUGUGUCCAUCUUGGUUUUUGCCUUGCUCUUGGCAUUCAUAAUGCACCAAAAGAGAAAACUUGCUGAGCAUUUUGAAAUGAAUGGGGGUAAUAUACUAAAAUCAGUCAUAGGCCUGCCCAUUUUCACAGAGAAGGACCUAAAGAAAAUCACUAAGAAUAAUUCAGAGUGUCUGGGUAAUGGAUAUUUUGGUAAAGUGUACAAAGGAACUCUACCCGAUGAAGCAAUCGUGGCAGUUAAAUCCUUUAUCAAGGUAGAUAAAGACAGAAUAGGGGAAUUUACGGAGGAAGUGAAGAUCCAAUUGAAAAUGAAACACCCUAACAUUCUCAAGCUAAUGGGUUGUUGCCUCCAGCUGGAUGUUCCAAUGUUGGUGUAUGAGUUCGCUGCAGAAGGGAGUCUCAGAGACAUUCUACACUGGAAACAAAACCAAAAGCUCUCAGCGGAGUUACGGUUGGACAUUGCAAUUGGGUCUGCCAACGGAUUAAGCUAUAUGCACUCUGAAGACAUACGGCAUGGAGAUGUGAAACCAGACAACAUACUUCUCAGUGACAAGUCAAUACCAAAAAUAGCUGAUUUUGGGCUAUCUAAACUACUUAACCCAGGGGAAAAAUUUACUAAGAAGGUUAUUGGGUGCCAGGGUUACAUGGACCCAGUUUUCAGGAACACUGGUAUAUUAACCUCAAAGAGCGAUGUCUAUAGCUUUGGGGUUGUUCUCCUAGAACUCAUAUCUAGGAAAAAAGUGGAAUAUGGUGAAAGCGGUAGCCUCAUCAUUGAAUUUCGCCAUAUAUAUGAGACAAAAAAGAGUGGAAGGUCAUUGUUUGAUGAGGAGAUUGUAGCUGAAAAAGAUAUUCUGAUCCUUGAAGAAAUUGGCAAGCUAGCAAUGCAAUGUCUAAAAGAACGUUUAGAUGGACGUCCUGGUAUGAAAGAAGUAGCAGAACAACUUGUCAAGAUUAAAGAGAAUAUUGUACAUACGACUGCAACAACACUUAGAUGA